rnacentral:rRNA from 1 species
UGGUGGAGUGAUUUGUCUCCUUAAUUGGGAUAACGAACGAGACCUCGACCUGCUAACUAGUUCUGCCUAGGUUCGCCUAGGUUUUGGAGCUUCUUAGAGGGACUAUUGCUGUUCUAGGCAAUGGAAGUUCGAGGCAAUAACA